UACGUAGGAGGCAAGCGUUGUCCGGAGUUACUGGGCGUAAAGCGCACGCAGGCGGUCUGUUGCGUCCGCUGUGAAAACUCGGGGCUUAACCCCGAGCCUGCAGUGGAUACGGGCAGACUAGAGGUAGGUAGGGGAGAAUGGAAUUCCCGGUGUAGCGGUGAAAUGCGCAGAUAUCGGGAGGAACACCGGUGGCGAAGGCGGUUCUCUGGGCCUUACCUGACGCUGAGGAGCGAAAGCGUGGGGAGCGAACAGG
rnacentral:rRNA from 1 species